rnacentral:rRNA from 1 species
UACAUGAGUGACAAGCGUUAUCCGUAAUGAUUGGGCGUAAAGGAUGCGUAGACGGUAGAAGCAGUUGUACUUUACUAUAAUGGUUAACCAAGUUUGAUUACAAUACCUUUUUACUAGAGUUUUAAUUAUGUAAGUAGUAUCUGUAAAUUAGUGAUAAAAUACAGUGAUUUUAUAGGUAUUUUCAAAAGCGAAAGCAAUUUACUUUUUAAAACUGACGUUGAUGCAUGAAAGUAUGGUUAUCAAAUAGG